rnacentral:snRNA from 1 species
AAAUAAAAAACAGCUGUCACCCCACUGAUUGCCACUGCUGCUUUGGCUGACUAGAAGCCAGACCCCUUCCUCCCUAACUCCUCCAUGUACAUCUCUCUUGAUGCUGAACACUCGGUGGAAGAGGAUGACUGUCUUAGACGUGUAUGAUCUUGGGUGAAGGGUAUACAAUAGCUGCGCUCCCCUGCUAGAAAUUCCAAAUGAGCUCAAACUGGGAAGAGAAAAUUGAGGUCUUCACUGGUGAUCUCUUCUCGAGAUCUAGUUCUUGCACACAAUAUAUGCUACUUUUCUUU